GUACCAUUCCUAAACCACAACACCUGAGGAGAGCGUGAAGCUUUGAGAUGGCACAUUGGGAAGCCUAAGCCAACUGUUCCUGCUGCAUGCAUGCCUGAAUUGAUUACACUGUUCUGUGGAGCUCAGAGACUCUCCCUCCUGUUGGCCUGUCCCUGUGUGAAACAGGAAUUCACAGUACUAGAAUGAGUCAGAAUUGAAAGCCAGAGCCGUUCCCUCGAGCUUGGACAUCAAUUUGGAAACACCUAGAUCCCUCUCAGUCCAAACGGUUUGUGAGGGCAAGUGUUCCAGCUAAGAUCUUGCAGUUGGACGCUUUGCCUUUGCUUGGAUCACUGGCAGCUCUCAUGUCAGGCUCAGAUCUUCAGGGCUAUUUUCAUGAGAUGAAAGAAAUCUUAAUUAAGUGUUCAUAUCUUUGUCAGCCAGACUCAGAAUAAAAAUUGAUGCGAUUCCCUUGAGCUUCACUGCUUGUUAUACCCUGCAGACAACAAAGAUACGGGAAAGAAUAAUGUGAAUCUCAUUUAACAUCACAAAGAAGCUUUCCACAGCAGGAUAGACUGAUGUGGAACUAUUGAAUGGGCAUAAAAAAAACCUCUUUACUUUCUCUUCCUUUCAAAAAAAAAUAAAGGAAAAAAG